CUUUAUCCACGUGUUCAUUUGGCAAAUUCUCAACCCUCUCUGUGCCUGACCUUUGCUAGGUGCUGAGGACAUAACGGUGAGCAAGAGAAAUCACUGCCCUUGUUCCCGCUGAUCCUGCAGCCCAGUGGAUGGAGCCCACAGUCCACAGACCUGCCAGGAAAGAAAAAAAUUUUCCUGAUGGUUGUUCCAAGCAGGGACUCCCCAGUGGAUUGAGGAAUGUGUGGCUUUUCCUCAACUCGUUGGUCUCUGUGGUAGCCACGGGCAGCACCCAAAGGACCCCAAGAAUGAAAGGCCUGUGGUCUGCAAGUUGCUGCUAGAGAUAUUUUAGCCUGUCCAGAUAACAGAAUGCAGUUGUCCUACAAGUUCCUAAGGGCCUUGGGCGCACGCUGACCGCUCCGGGGCAGGCGCGCCCUUCGCUCCAGGUCCCGGCAGGGGCGCUGCCAUAGCAA
rnacentral:lncRNA from 1 species